UUGUGGUUCAUGACUGGGGUGAAGUCGUAACAAGGUAGCCCUAGGGGAACCUGGGGCUGGAUCACCUCCUUAUACGAUGAU
rnacentral:rRNA from 1 species